GGAGAAAGAAACGAAGAAAGUGAAGUUGGUAAAUAUAGGCGCAGGGAGACUUGGAGACAGACGACCAGGGAUAAAGGGGUCCGGGUGAGGUGGAAUCUUAGUCGGAGACUAGGUAAGAAGCCAGGCAAAUCUGGUGGUGACCCCACCAGUCCUACAUUCAUUCCAUCGACCUCCUGGGAACCUGUUGCGGAGAGAUUUGAGAGGGCGAAGAUUCCAGGGUCCCAGUCCUAUGGGGCCCCCCUAAGGCCUAGGGGGAAUAAACAGGAGACAGUGAUCAGGUUGCGGACCUCAACCACUCUGCCUUAUUAAUCACAUUCUACCAACUGAUCACCUGAAAGAAAAUGCACAGGACUCAAAAGGAGGUGGCUAUCCUCUUGAAUCCAAGCCAGGGGACCCAUGCUGGGCUUGCUCACAGCUGCUUCUCGCCAGAACGCGGCCAAGAGGAGGAGAGCAAAAGGCGGAGAGGACCCCGGAGAAGAGGACUGGCGCCCUCUAGAGGAUGAGGAAGCUCAAUACCACCAUGACAGAGGAAAUUGACCCUGUCCUUUGCCCGAAAACAUGCAAAAGACACAACAGGGGAGGAUCAAGAAGGUGAAGCCAUGUCCUAUCUGGAGGAGGAGACACCCUCUGUCUCAACCAGAGGCCCUGCCUGUCCUUAAGAACCUAACCCAGGAACCAAAUGAAAAAGCAGCUGUCUGGCUACAGAGAACGUAUCCAACAGAGCACAGCAAGAUCCACCUGACAGGGGCUGAAGUGAAUCACUUGGCUGCCCCAGGACAGGAUGGAAGAGUGGCUUCCCUACUAAAGGAUUCUGCACAACUAGUGCAGAAGCUGGGAGUGGCCCCCAGGAGGCUUUGCACCGCAGUCCAUGUGCACCUGGUCGGAGUGGAUUUUGCAUUUUUGUGAAUUGUGGUGGCUUGGAGAGCUGCCCACCCUAUAUGAGGCCUCAUAACCCGCCGGGCAGAACGGUGAUGGAGAACGCUAGCUGAGGCCGAAGAUGUCCUCCAUCAGCUCGGCACAUUCCAGCGGGAUUAUCUGGCGGCAGAUGGCGCGGCGUGAGGACUCUGUACCCCGAGGAGGCUGAAUGGAGUGCUUAGUCCAUGGUAGCUUCUCAGGGGGGCCUGACAAGCACAAGUCCUGUUCCUGUCAGUGACAGCUAAGGCUAAACAACCCACCAGUCCAUGGCUGCCCUGGGUGGAAUAGAAACCCAUGGUGGACAAACUCAGCCCAGUGUUGCCUGCAAUCGUGAAAACAAUGCCCCACCUGGCCCAAAUCACAAGGAGCAUCACCAGCGAGGCCGCCCCCUCCUAGUCCGAAUGAACCACCAGCAGCCAGGCCCCCGGUUGAGCGGGAACCCUGAGAUGCACGGAAGAUGUCAUCUGUUAGUCACGGUUCUGCAGAGCAACAGAACAAAUAGGAGGUGAUGCGUCUACGUCUAUGAGGAGAUAUACAGGAUUUAUUAUAAGGAAUUGGCCCACACCGAUCCAGAGGCCCACAAGUCCCAAGACCUGUAGUUGGUGAGCUGGGGACCCAGGAGAGUGGGUGGCACAGGUCCAGUGUAACGACCAGCAGGCCUGAGGCCGAGGAAGGGCUGACGUUUCUGUUCAUGCUCUAAGGCGGGAAUAAAUGGCGUCUCAGCCCCUGCAGUCAGGCAGGAGGAGGGGCUGACUCUGACUCACGGAGUCAGCGGUCUUGUUUUACUCAGGCCUUCAACUGACUGGGCAGGGGACCCCACAUCCGGGAGGGAGGUCAGCUUCACUCAGUCUUCCAGAGAAAGGUUAAUCUUACCCAGAAACACCCUCAUAGCCACACCCAGAACAGUUUGACCCAGUGUGUGGGCACCCUUGUGGCCCAGGCAAGUUGACACAUAAAAUUCACCAUCACAGGUUGUUUGGAGUCCUAAGGGACAAGAGGAUCCCAAAUGCGAAGUGCUCUGAUAAAUCGGUGGAACAACACAGCAGGAGCCGGGGUGGGGGGCGGCGUGGCAGGCCCCUGCUUCCGAGGCAGCCUAGCCUUCAGCACCUGCCUUGAUCUCUGCCAAUGACAGGGGCCCGCCCCACACAGAUCCCAUGGGAAGCAGCCCCUCGGGCAGAUGAUCACCCUUUACCACAUUAACUGACGUUUGCUCUCUGGCAAAUGAAUGCCCCGGGCGGGCUCUCAACAAGGGUGCUGGAAUCUCCCUCAUCCCAGGCAGCAUUCAAAUUUAAAGGGCCCUCCCCAGGAGGUGGCCCGCUGGGGAGGAGGAGCCAGGAAAGCAUCAUCACCCACUUCCCAUUCCAGUUGGCCCAGGGUUGCUAAAAGACGUUUUUGUCCUGGUUGUUGUCCCCAAUCCGCCCCGUGUCCCAUCACUGGAACGGGCCCUCUCAGUCAGAGGGUGAGCUCAGGGAAUAGCCUAAGGCUCCUGAGCGCCGCUGCUGCCGGGUGGGAGCGGGUUAACCAAGCCGCUUCCCCUGCGAAUGUCGGGGUCCACUUGCCCCACAGCAGCUGAGGCAAGGCCUGCUGCGCUGACUUGGUUAGGGAAGGGGAACGACCUCCUACCAUCUCGCCUUCCAGCUCCCUGGUAUGAGUGGUGCUGAAAGCCACUACUAAAGAGUGAGGCGAACUCCAGACUACGGAGCCUUACACAAGGCUGUCCCCUGGCUUGGAGCGCUUCUGGCCAGACAUCGUCGCCUUAAGCCACAUUCAAAACAACCUGGCUAAAUAGUUUGGAGCUAAAGACUCUGCUGACAUGUUCUGUUCCAUAAAAAUGGUGAGUCCCAGGAGACUCACCACAAUCGCCUUCCCCUUUUGGGGCCAACAGGACACUUUGCACUGGUUGACCCUGGGGUCGUUCUGUACCCCCCGCCCUGCCCCUGAUUGCACAUGGGCUGCCCACUCCCCCAGCACAGUUCGUCUUUGCCAUCACAUCCACAACAUCCUCCUCACUGAAACAGACCACCAUGCUGUCCCACAGCGAUCGCAGUCCUGAGUAAGCACUUCACUGCGAGCGGAUGGGCAGCUGCCCCUCCAUAAGGUCCAAGGCUCCUCCCAGUCUGUUGAAUUCAGGGGCUAUGUGUGGUACUCAGAAGGGUAAACUGUCCUUUAUCCUGUAAAAGACAAGCUCUGGCUGGGUGCGGUGGCUCAUGCUUGUAAUCCCAGCGCUUUGGGAGGCCGAGGCAGGAGGAUCACGAGGUCAUGAGUCCGAGACCAGCCUGGCCAACAUGGUGAAACCCCGUCUCUACUAAAAAUGCAAAAAAUUACCCUGAUGGGGUGGCAGGCACCUGUAAUCCCUGCUACUCAGGAGGAUGAGGCAGGAGAAUCACUUGAACCUGGGAGGUGGAGGUUUCAGUGAGCCGAGAUCACACCACUGCACUCCAGCCUGGGCAUCAGAGACUCCAUCUUACAAAUAAAAAAUAAAAUAAAAUAAAAAAGACAAGUCCCAGAGGUACAGCCUCCCACACUGGCAAGGACACCCAACUGUGGCAGGCAGGUUUGGAUUCCGGUGCCACCACAUUCCCCACUUCCAAUAUUUUCUAGGAGCUAUCUGUAGAGUCUCCCUUACCUAUUCCACUCUCCAGCCGGGACCUGAGCAACAGAGGCCACAUAAACACAUGGAGGCUGUUACGUCAUCUUUCCCACCUGCCCCGACGAUAGGACCCACAGUAAGAACAUCCCUCCAAAUUUGCUUCCCGAAGCAUCAGCCCCAAAUGCACAGGCGAGCACCUACCCAUGGGCUUCUGUAGGCAGCUGCCAGCCUCAGCCCAAAGGUAUUCGCCUCGAGAGAGACACCACCUGACGGCACCCUGGGCACUUCAGGAAACAGAGGCCCUUCCUGGGACACAGUCCACCACUCUGUACACUGAGAUUCCUAGUCUGGCCGGCACAAUGGGAAAGCUCCCCCUAAAACUGAAUCCGCAACAGAAGCCCCUGAUCAAAAUAGAAAUGGGCUCCACGGGCUCCAACUAAACUCUGCCCUCCUGGAGUGCCACAAGCCCAUGAGCAAAUUGCCACAUAACCUGCUGGGGAGGAAAACUUGCCAAACCCUAGAAAUGCCUCCGCCUCCAGGCAGCAAACCACCUUGCCAUGAAUGUACCUAUGUAACAAUCUUGCAUGAUCUGCACAUGUAUCCCAGAAUCUAAAGUACAAUGAAAAAGAAAAGAAAAGAAAAGAAAAAGAAAUGCCUCCACCCCUUGCUCGAGGAGACCAGAAGGAGGAAGACCACAGCACUCUCAAAACAAGAAAAGCAACACCUUUUCUUUACAGAUGGAGGCACAUGGGCAAUACGGGAGCCAGGCAAUGACACCCGCAGCCCGGAACCUCAGUCAACCAGUCCAGUUUCCAUGCGGGCUGAGCUGCGUGCACUACUCCUAGCAACAGACCAUGCUCUUGGCAAACAUGCCCCCAAGGUAUUUCACUGACUCCAGGUCAGAGGCUAAUGGGCUGACUACAUAGUUGGGGCGUUGGCAAAACCAAGGUUGAAAAUACAAGACCCAGACACUUGGGAUAAAGAGAUGGGGGCUGUAAAUUGCCGAAUUCGCCCUGCUCUGCCUAUGGUUGUGCACCGUACCUUUGCUAACAUUAAGCAAGAUGCGGAGGAGGUGCAAUAUCAUGCCAAGAACAAGCUAACAAAACCAGCGAAGCAGUCAGGGCUGCGAAGGAGGGCGAGUCCUCGGUCCCUGGGAACAAGCCAUCUGACUUCUUCUACCAACGGGCACAUGAGAUCAAGGCACUUGGGCACCACGAGGUUGUGAAAAUGGGUUGUGAAGAGAGGAGUUGACCCAGCAGAGGGACAUUUAAACAAAGUCAUUGGGGACCGUACCAGCGCCAGCAAUCCAGACAUUGGGGCCACCACAUGGGAGGAAAAAUUUAGAGAGAAGGGCUACAUCAAAACUGGCAAACUGACUCCUUGGGCAUCUCCCUGCAGCAGCUGGAACCGUGAAAUACACCUGAACAGUGGUGGAUACCUACACAGGCAUCUAUCGGCUUACCCACGCAAGGCAGCCACCUCUAUUCAUGUUAUUGAGAGAGAAUCUGUAGGAAAAUGGCCCCUCAAGUGGUAAGAAGAAAGUACUGCCCAUAGGCCUGAUCAUUAUGCCACAUGCCUAUGCCAUGACUACACCAUAUUGAAAUUCACAAUAGAUGAAGAGACCACUAGCAGGACAUUGUCACCCCUGCUGGUGUACAAGCCCACACCAGAGACAGUUACUGGCUUUCACAAGACAUGGGAGCCCAGCGUUGUUAGAGCAAAGGAACUUCCAGCUGGUACUUUCAUCUUUACCUCCUCCCUCCUGGAAAGUACGGGGCCGAGCCACUUCCCUUCAAUCCCGAUGAGGAUCUCAUGAGGACCACCCACUAGGACCAUCCUCAGCCUGUGUCUCCUCACCCUGUGGAGCAGGCAUCUGCAGAGAGAGAUGCCCUCAUCCCACGACCCAUGUCCUCCACUGAAGGUACCAUAGGACACAGCUGGACCUGUUCCCCACACCCAAACGGUUUAUCCCUCCAAACCACUAAUGCCACUUGAGUGAUACCCAAGGGACAAUCCAAUCCCUACUCCUGGCCACAGAUGACCUCUGACUUUAACCCCUAUUGUGUUGCUGUGCCCUUUUCUUACCUGAGAAGCUGGUACCUUCGCCAGUGUCAAGUACACAUCCACUGAUGGUUCACCCUACCCUGGUCAUCUACACGCUACUGCUGACCAAGGUAUGUCUGGAAAUACAUUUCACAUGCACCCCACGGGGUAACACAUGACACGGGGCAUCUGAGGAUGAUGGGAACCACACUGUUGACUAUUUGAGCUGGUCAUUCCUAUUAACACAACCGGAAAUCAACCCUGAGGCUAGCAUGCCUCCCCUUCUCUCUGCUACCGAAACCAGCACCUGUUCCAACUAAGCCAGACUCAGACACCACUUGUGAAUCUUGGGUGCCUGGUAAGUCGUAUAGUGCAACUUUUGCCUCACAUCCAAUAAAACCAUUAUUAACAACUGCCAUCAAACGGAGCAAUGGGCCACACCUAUAGAGUCUCAUUGAAGGCAUGCCCAGAGAUACUAUGCACCUGACACUGCUCCUUUCUGGUGCAAUCAAAGGAAAAAUGCUGAAUCCAGCCAAUACCAGCAAACCCUAAGGAUUAGAGAGAUCAAAUUCCAGCUCUUACAAAUCCCUGGGGUGAUGAAAAGUGUAAACCCCGCCUCCAGUGUACACCCUUUCAACUCCUGGCCUCUUUUUCUACUUCUCAUAGUGAUCUCUGUCCCCCUCCAGUGCCAGCCCCACUUGCUGAGAAAGAAAUUGCACUAACCAAGUGGCCAAGGGCAUCUUUCCAUGAAGCCUCUCCCUGGCCUCUUCAACAUAUACAAACAAAGCUAUGCACAUUACACCAAGUUAUCUGCACCAAGGCAUGUCUACAAUAUCAGGGAUUACAACCAGUUUAGGAAUUCUUUCCUAACUUAACCUCGCAAUACCAACGACCAGUUUUGCAUCACACUCAAUGGAAAUGAGUACUGUGCUCUGUAACAAUUGCAACAUUGGCUUCCCACAGUGAGCCAUCAGAGUUCCAGGGAUUACAGCAAAGACAGUUCUUACCAAAACCCAUAUUUGGGCUGGGCGAGGUGGCACACACCUGUAAUCCCAGCACUGUGAGAGGCCAGGCUGAGGAUCACUUGAACCCAGAAGUUUGAGACCAGCCUGGGCAACAAAGUGAGACCCCCAUCUCUACAUUUAUUUUUUAAUUUUUUGAGACGAAGUCUCGCUCUGUCGCCCAGGCUGGAGUGCAGUCGUGCAAUCUCAGUUCACUGCAACCUCUACCUCCUGAGUUCAAGCGAUUCCCCUGCCUCAGCCUCCCAAGUAGCUGGGACUACAGGGGCACACCACCACGCCUGGCUAAUUUUUUGUAUUUAUAGUAGAGAUGGGGUUUCACCAUGUUGGCCAGAAUGGUCUCGAUCUCCUGACCUCAUGAUCCGCCCUCUUCAGCCUCCCAAAGUGCUGGGAUUAUAGGUGUGAGGCACCGUACCCAGCCACAAAUUUUUUUUUAGUUAGCAGGGUGUGGUGACACCGCCUAUCCCUAGUUAGGAGGCUGAUACUGGAGGAUUGCUCGAGCUCAGGAGUUUGAGGCUGCAAUGAGCUGUAAUCACAUUACUGUACUUCAGCCUGGGCAACAGAGUGGGAUCCUGUCUCUGAAAAAGAAAAAAAAAGCCACAUUUGAUCCCAUGGAGAAAUCUAACCACUCUCUACAUGGGACUUUCUCCACUCAAAUUGGUAACUAAAUGUUUACACCACUUGCUCCCAAUGGGGCACCCCAGAGGCUAUUAAAGCUAUAGAAAUGACAGGGCGCAGUGGCUCAUGCCUGUAUUCCUAGCACUUUAGGAGGCUGAGGCAGGCAGAUCACUUGAGGUCAGGAGUUGGAGACCUGGCCAAAAUGGGGAAACCCCAUUUCUACUAGAGAUACAAAAAUUAGCUCGGUGUGGUGGUGGGUGCAAGUAUCCCAGCUACUCGGGAGGUGGAGGUAGGAACCCAGGAGGCAGACGUUGCAGUGAGCUGAGAUGGUGCCACUGAACUCCAGCCUAGGUGACAGAGAUUCCAUCUAAAAAAAAAAAGUUGUACAAAUGGCUGCUCUAGAACAGUUUUCCCAAGGAGGAAAGGGAUGGAGCAAUUGGCCCCCACAACUGGGAAUUCCCAGUCUCUUAAACACAGGACAGAUAUGGCUCAAACAUAGAAUACAAUUGAUGUCUAUGUUUGAAAUAACUUGGAUGCCCCUGUGAAGAUACCAUAUGCGAGUGCUCCAUAGUACAGAGUCUACUUUGGUAUGGGGCUAAAUUAACAACUUUAAAAAAUGCUCAGAACAAUUGCAAAGUUUAUCCCUUACCCACGGAAGUACAAACAUGCUAUUUAAUAUUGGCAAUUGGCAAGAAACUCAGAUACCAAUGUGCACCAAUGAGAACAAAGAGGAAAAUAAUAAUUGCCCACCAAACCGAGCGUGCAUAGAUAUAGCCUUAGCCACAGCCAUCCACAAAUGGCAAAUUUAACUGCAUGCUUGCUUCUGCCAACCUGAUUUUAAUCCACAUGGUGUAAUUCCUCUCUCCCAGCCAAGCUCCCCAACAAACCUCACUAAUCAAGAUGAACCUAAUCCCCUGGCUAUAGACAUCCAAUAGCAAUGUCCAGAGGUUAAUCUCAUGCAAAUAUGUGGACAAUGGUGGGCUGAGCCCAUAACCAACUGAGCUGACCCAGGUGCUGAAUAUGAGGUGGGUUACAUGCACGUUUGCUUCCCUAUAACAUUAUAAGCUCCUAUUAACACCACCUGGAUUUGCUCUGAGCCACACAAACUUCCCUUCAUAGGAACAGAGAAUACAGGCCGCAGAGGGACCCUGGUGAACCUGUAAGGGAAUCAAAGGGCUUGUCACAAGCUUCCCCUUAUCUGACACUGUUAUACUUAAUGGUAAUAACUCAUAAAACAUAGCUGUUUUUAUUAAAUCAAUAAUAUUAAGCUAAUCUUGUUUGCCAAAGGUUUACCUAAAUUAUGCAACUUGAAUUUUUAAAACAUUGAUGUUAGGUUUUAGGGAAUACUUUUUCCCCCACACUGAAAGUAUUAGAAAUUCAGAAUUUUUUUUCCUGACAGUUUUAGGGUUUUUAAGGAAUUUUAUAAAUUAAUUUGAUAAUAUUAUCCGAAGGUAGAAAAAUAUCACAUAUGCAUCAAAUAAAUACAUCAACAUACAGACAGAUGCAAAUAAAGAUCUUACAGCUUUCUUCCUAAAGUUUUAGCCACAAUCACAGCAACAGAGUUGGCUCUUGUCUUUACCCCCACUUUGUAUUUUUAUCAGAAUUAUGCUCCUGGCAGAUGGGACAAGUUGAGGUUUACCUAUUCAAUAUGAGGGCUAAAGUUUCCCCUCAAUAUUUGUGGAGGAGACUUUUAAGAUUCUCUUGGCCUGGCGCGGUGGCUCAUGCCUGUAAUCCCAGCACUUUGGGAGGCCGAGGCGGGUGGAUCACAAGGUCAAGAAAUCGAGACCAUCCUGGUCAACAAGGUGAAACCCCGUCUCUACUAAAAAUAUAAAAAAUUAGCUGGGCGUGGUGGCACGUGCCUGUAAUCCCAGCCACUGAGGAGGCUGAGGCAGGAGAAUUGCCUCAGGCAGGAGGAGUGCAAUUCUCACAGGCUGGAGUGCAAUGGCGCGAUCUCGGCUCACCGCAACCUCCGCCUCCUGGGUAACAAGAGCGAAACUCAGUCUCAAAAAAAAAAAAAAAAGAUUCUCUUUGCCCUGAUGUGUGGUAUCUCCAAAGACCACCUGAGUAGAUAAAAUAUCCAGUCUGUUUCCAGUUAGUUUUUUCAGCCUCUGGUGCUUGCUUUUGGGGUCCCUGAGCCCCUCAAGAGUCCCCCAGUGGUGGCAGAGGGACUAAAGCGCUAACGACUAUAGGGAGUUGAGGUACUGGUUUCAGAAGUGAAAGGUCUGGCAGGGGGAGACAGGUGGAGGAGGUAGAUGUAUGAAUGGGGACACAUCAAAGGAUCCAAGGAAACUGAAAGGAAGAUCAAAGGUGGCAAGAGAAGGAAGGAGGAGUGGAGCUCAGGAGAAGGGAAAAGUCUUAGAUGAGCUAAUUUUUGGAGAGCUCAAGUUCCCUAAAGACGCUACCGAAGUUCCAAAUUGUCUCUGGCAAUUCUUUGGCCAUUCAUGAAUAUAUUAGACUGAACCACUAUGUAGUAAACAGGAAAGAAGAGGAGGGAAGGCAUCUAAGAGAAUGAGUUCCCCGUGGGAUUAACAGAUAAUAAGCCAAGAUUGAAUUGCCAAGGGAACACUUCAUGUAAUCUCCAUGGCAGAAAGCCCAGAGAACUCCCACACACAAUUUCUGGGAUGGAGUCAAGUGAACCCCACACCCCAUGCAAUCGCCAGGGAUUGAGGAGCGGAGGAAAUUCCCACAUACAAUCCCCAUGUUUGAGAUGCCAAGAAAAUUCUUCUGCAUAAUCCCCCAGUUUAGCGAACCAAGAAAAAAAAAAACAGAAAAGGCCUCACAGAAAGGGAUACAGAAGUCUUUUUGCCAGAAAGAAUAAACGUAACUCCUGACUACCACAUUUCAACAGAUAAACCUUCAAAACACUGGAUUAGAUUAGGAAGUAUGACUCCCCACCACAGAGUCCUACUUUUCCAGGCAAAAAACACACAAAAGUACCGUGUCAAAGGGUCCAGGAAGCCAGCAUGAAUAACUGGGUGAAGACACAGGGUCAGAGGGAACAGCCAGCACUACAUCUGAGUCAUGCCAGCAUUAGUAUUCAAAGAAACACAAAUCAGGAUUUAGUAAGGAGAGACUUUUAUUUAAAAGGAUUAUUACAAAGGAAGGAAAAGCACUAUUGCACUAGGGAGAGGAGGAUGAUUGCAAUAGGGAGAAUGCUGUGACUACGAGGUCUGCAAGACUCAAAGCAAACAGAAAAAGGCUUUUCUUUUAUAGAGGAAGGAGGAGGCAAGCAGAGAUAAGCAAUCUUUGGAAAGGAAACUGGACAAGCAGGGGGCAUGCCCCGGUUCUUUGUGUUCAGGUUUAAGGAUAAGCAGAGGGUAAGCAAUGGGCAACUGUGAACCUCUCCAAGGCUUACAGCCAGCCAGGUACACCGAAGAGACAAACAAAUCAAAGUCUUCUCCCUUUCUGAUCUUUUCUCCUGGCUUUCCCGCACUAAAUGGGCAGACUGGAUGCAAAUAGGCUAUGAAAUCUUAAUUUGUGGCCUAUAAGACCAAGAAUCUUAUACAACUCUUAUAGGUUGCUUUAUCACUGGCACCAAAAUCAGUUAUUAUGAAAUAACAUACAACUAAGAUUAUAGGCCCGGCGCAGUGGCUCACGUCUAUAAUCCCAGCGCUUUGGAAGGCCAAGGCAGGCGGAUCACGAGGUAGGAGUUCGAGACCAGCCUGACCAACAUGGUGAAACCCCAUCUCUACUACAAAUACAAAACUUAGCUGUGUGGUGACGCAUGCCUGUAAUCCCAGCUACUCAGGAGGCUGAGACAGGAGAAUCACUUGAAUCCCGGGAGGUGGAGGUAGCAGUGAGCCAAGAUUGUGCCACUGCACCCCAGCCUGGGCGACAGAGUGAGACUCAGUUUCAAAAAAAAAAAAAAAAAAGAUUAUAAAGCCACCUAGGCCCAGGGCAUGGAUUUUUAUUUUUAUGAAUUUAGCUACUUAGUUAUUUGUGGAGACCCCCAGGCUGGAAUGCAGUUGCACAAUUAUAGCUCACUGCACCAGUGUCACCAGAGCUGGUCUCAAAUUCCUGGCCUCAAGCAAUCCUCUCAAAGUGCUGGGAUUACAGGUAUGAGCCACUGUGCCGGGCCCAGGAUGCUUUCAUAUAUAUAUAUAUAUAUAUAUAUAUAUAUAUAUAUAUAUGAGCCAAACAUGGCCUCUAUGUAUUAACCCCCAGGUUAUUUCUUCCCUGCAGGUUGAGAUCCAUUCAUUCAAAGGCCCACCAGUGCCAAACUUAAAUAUUUGCACAUCCAAUUAUUUUUUAAAACUAGACCAAAGAGGAAUUUUUUUUUUAGCCAUUUACAGCCUACCUGUUUUGCAUGCUUCACAAAAUUUCACCCCACAUCUGUUAACAAUAGAUAAGCCCUGGGCCAUAAGGACCCCAAGCCUCUACUGCCCUUAUGAGCUGUCUGACCCAAUAACUCCAUGCUGCUGGCUAAGCAACAUCACCUAGACACAUAAGUCUCCUCUCUGACCCCCAUCUCCCCUAAGAAUUCCUUGCCUUCAUUCCCUUCUGAGUAACCUCUGUACAGACUCCUGCUGUGAGGGACCUCUGCCACACACAAGCCUGUCAAGGCACCACCCACUAAAGCUGUGCAUGCUACUGCCACCUCGUGGUUCCAUCAUUUUCCUCCAUCGGCCCCCAAAUCCCUCAAACCACCUACAUCUAUGGCAAAAUUGGAGUUGACAGUGAAUACAACUGUAUUACCUAGUGGUAAAUAUUAAUAGUUCAGUAGUUCCGUACCUUUGUAACCCUACCCCAUAUGAAUGGGAAUGAACUGAGGGGGAGGCACUUGCUAGACUAGCAUUACUGACAGAAAUCCGGGUCAGUGACUGAACCUAACAUCCCUUCCAAAGGCAAAAAAGUUUGGAUAGAAAUAACUGACAAGUGGAGAGAAAAAUAAAUGGUAGUUGAGUGGAAACGAAUGAAUAAAUGGUUUAUGCAAUGGGGGAAAUCCACUAUUAAACUGGUGCCUCGAGAGAGGCUCGGAUCAAGAGAAUAUUGUCUCCUCCUAGCACAAUUACACCAGAUGCUUAAAACGUGAAGCCAUAUGUCUGUUGAGACUACCUCUCCUUUUGGAAACUGGCAAGGUUGAAUGGAAGCCUGCAAACCUCAGUGACAUCAUUCUGGGAGACAUUUUGGUUACAUCAUAUGAUGAUGAACUAGACCAAUUGUUGAUGACUGAGUGAAACUCGACAUGCCAGUAUCUUUCGACUGUUGUCAAAAGUAAAUCAUUUGGGGCCAGGCACAGUGGCUCACACCUGUAAUCUCAGCACUUUGGGAGGCCAAGGUGGGCAGAUCACCGAGGUCAGGGGUUCAAGACCAGCCUGGCCAACACGGCGAAACCCCGUCUCUACUAAAAAUACAAAAAUUAGCUGGGCAUCAUGGCAGGUGCCUGUAAUCCCAGCUACUCAGGACGGCUGAGGCAGGAGAAUCGCUUGAACCCGGGAGGUGGAGGCUGCAGUGAGCCGAGAUUGCACCACUGCACUCCAGCCUUGUCAACAGAGCGAGACUCUGUCCCAAAAAAAAAAAAAAAAGAUAUCAUUUUGGAAGGAAUUUCUAGGAGCUACACCCUGCCAGGCUGUCGGACUGCAUGUCGUAAAAGUCCCAGCAGACUGAUUACCGUGUAACUAUAGACCUUAAUGAUAGAAUACUUAGAAAGUUCCCCGGUUAUAAGAGACAAAGUAUAGCAGCAGCAUAUCUGACAUGCUCCAGUUAGCCAUGCACAAAUGUAUAUCACCCUUGUUUUGUGGAUGGGAAGUUAUCAGGUUGGUGCAAAAUAUUGCAGUUUUACAUUACAUUAAAAGUAAUGGCAAAAAUCGCAAUUACUUUUGCACCAACCUAGUAUUAACCAGAAUAGAAAAAACAAAUGGGUUUCCCACAGGAUUAAAGCAAUAGACAUCAGGUGGUAGGCUCAAAUUCCCUAGGGAAAUGCCCCACCCUGAGAUGAGGAAGGCUAUGUGAGCCCUUAUGUCAUACUCAGACUAAAUUACAUCUAGAUGUGAUUACCAAUCAUCUAACUCUGUUAUGAGGAUCCCAACAUUUUGGGAUACACAUGUGUCCUAGCUGCACUCAGGCCAGCAGUGCCCAAUGGCAACAACAUGCAUAGUGGAUUAAACAAUGUUGAUUCAUGGAACAGAAAAGGGCUUUAAGGGAGCUAGGUGCUGGUCUAGGCAUCGUGGGACAAGUUGAAUUCGCUUUUAAGGAGAAGUAGCACUCAGAAGAAAAGAUGUAUAAACUAGAAUGCAUAGACUAGAGGGAUUCUCUUCCAAGAGAAAGACAAAGGAUGGUGUCAGCCUGGAAAGGUAAUAAGGCUUUAGUGAAGUGGGGCAGGCAGGCUCAACAAAUAAUGCUGGGUAAUGCUAGGAUCCAGUAUUGGAAAAGGGUUUGUACCCAGACCCAGCAGGGCCUCUUGACUAUUUUAAUACAGAUGGAGACCAAAAUGGCCAUAAGGACACCUGUGUCCUCCCCAUAGAAGGGAUAUGGGCCCUGAUUUAUAACAACACAUAAUGGAAAUCAGUCUCAGUGCAAGCCUGUGGAUUGAGAUAAGAUGACGGAUUUUGUCCUCAAUUGUCUUAGAAUCCAGAGUUAACCAAGUUAUAGCUCAUUGUAAUAAUACUUGUCAAGAAUAAUAUCUGGUAUACGCACAAGUGCUGAUUCUGUUAGGACGGUUUAGCAAAUACCUCUGUAAUUCUUACUGACUUGAAAUAAAUCCAUAUUCUAACCAUACUGUGAUAGGCUGUAACACUGGCAUUGUUAAUAAGAUUCAACUGUCUUAUAUGAAUAACUCAUGUGAUAAUACAGAUAUGAAUAGUCAAAUUUAUUGGAAGAUUGAGUUAAAGCUUAUUCAGGAUGUAAUACUGAUGGAGAGUUGCUGGUCUGAGGAAAAACUAGAUUUAGCUAACCAUCAGCUACUUUUUAUCCUAAAUAGUUCUGUAUAGAUUUAUCAUAACGUACAAAUAGCAGUAGAUCAAGAGGGUAAAUAAAUAAUGAAAUUAGGCCGGGCACAGUGGCUCACGCCUGUAACACCAGCACUUUGGGAGGCUGAAGCAGGUAGACUGCUUGAGCUCAGCAGUUUGAGACCAGCCUGGGCAACAUAGUGAAACCUUGUCUCUACAAAAAAUAUAAAAAUUAGCUGGGCAUGGUGGUACAUGCCUGUAGUCCCAGCUACUUGGCAGGCUGAAGUGGGAGGAUCACUUGACCCCAGGAAGCAGAGGUUGCAGUGAGCCAAGAUCUUGCCACUGCACUCCAGUCUGGGUAAUAGAGCAAGACUGUGUCUCUAAAUACAUAAAUAAUCAAAUUAGCAUGAAAUGUAAUGGUUUUGUAAGAUGGAUUAGUUGUCUAUUUAAAUCUACCCCUACCCUACACUAGCUCUUCCAAAUGUUAGGAAUAUGCAAACAGAUACUAUUGCUAUGUGUAGUAUAUGCUAUACUAAAUACUAAACUAAAUGUAGAUGCUCAAACAAAUUUUAUCAUUUUGCUGUAAGAGAGCCUGGGCCAAGGGCCAGAGGAGUGGGCUUUGCAGUAAAGUGUUAACUCAGCAGGCCUAAGCUGCCCAAACCCUGCACAUUUCAAAUGUCUUUAGAAUUGACCCUGGACCAAUUCCUAAGAAAUAAUCUCUGAGCCCUUGGAAUAUCUUGCCUGAUAAGAGUCUCUUUGUAUACCUGAAAUCUUAGGGCAAGACAAAUAGUUUAUGCUAACAAUGUGAUCUACAUAAAUGCAUAUUUUUGUAUGCUUGGGACUUCGAGUCACACUAUAUCACUUUGACUUCUGGCAAGCUGGGGUCGAAGUGGCUAAGGUCAAGUCAUAUGGACAUUCCAUGCCUACAGAACUGACUCCCAAUAAAAAACCCUAGAAAGCAAGACUCAGGUGAGUUGCCCUGGUUGGCUAUACUUUAUACGUGUUGUCACAUACCAUUGCUGGGAAAAUUAAGUGCUAUUCAUAUGACUCUACUCAGAGAGGAUAACUGGAAGCUUCUACCUGGUUUCUCCUGAACUCUGCUCUAAUGCACCUUUUUUCUUUGCUGGUUUAAUCUGUAUCUUUAGCUAUAAUAAACCAUAACCAUAAAUACAA